rnacentral:rRNA from 1 species
UACGGGGGGGGCAAGCGUUGUUCGGAAUUACUGGGCGUAAAGGGCGCGUAGGCGGCCUGCUAAGUCGGACGUGAAAUCCCUCGGCUCAACCGGGGAACUGCGUCCGAUACUGGCGAGGCUUGAAUCCGGGAGAGGGAUGUGGAAUUCCAGGUGUAGCGGUGAAAUGCGUAGAUAUCUGGAGGAACACCAAUUGCGAAGGCAGCUCGCUGGGACGUAACUGACGCUGAGACGCGAAAGCGUGGGGAGCAAACAGG